UCUGCCGUGUCCUUCGCCAAGCCCGUCAAGGCAAUCAACAUGAACUCACUCUCUUUCUCUGGUGCAAGGAGGGGCAAUGCAUUUCUUCGUCUGCAGCCAGUGCCGAUGAGAUUUGCUGUUUGCUGCUCAGCAAAGCACGAUACAGUGGAGAAGGUUUGUGAAAUUGUUAAGAAGCAGCUUGCUGUUCCUGAAGGCACUGAAGUUUGCGGUACCACCAAGUUCUCUGACCUUGGAGCUGAUUCACUGGACACGGUCGAGAUUGUGAUGGGCCUCGAGGAGGAGUUCCAGAUCAGCGUGGAGGAGACGAGUGCGCAGGCAAUUGCGACAGUGGAAGAUGCUGCCACGCUUUCGGACGCUGGGCCGGGAAUCGCGGUGGGGGAGGCUUGGCUCCCUGUGGCUCAGUGCAGGCGAUGUGUGACGGAUCUGAGGUUGCGCCUCCAGCGGGUGGCGGCCGCGGGAGCGUCGUCGGCAGGCCCCGGGGCUGCGGCCUGCUGGUUUCUGCCCGACGAGUUUGGGCGGGGUUGCGGUCCCCCCUCCUGCCUCCUGGAUCUCCGUCACCAUGGUUCUGGCUGCGUCGGCUGCGGGCGGCGGCCUCGGUCCGGGACGGCUGUGGUGCGGGCGUCUCGGCGGCGCCCGAUCCAGAUCUGA
rnacentral:rRNA from 1 species